GGAGGGGGUUUAGCGUUUGUUUCGGAAUUACUGGGCGUAAAGCGCACGUAGGCGGACUGGAAAGUUGGGGGUGAAAUCCCAGGGCUCAACCCUGGAACUGCCUCCAAAACUAUCAGUCUAGAGUUCGAGAGAGGUGAGUGGAAUUCCGAGUGUAGAGGUGAAAUUCGUAGAUAUUCGGAGGAACACCAGUGGCGAAGGCGGCUCACUGGCUCGAUACUGACGCUGAGGUGCGAAAGUGUGGGGAGCAAACAGGAUUAGAUACCCUGGUAGUCCACACCGUAAACGAUGAAUGCCAGUCGUCGGGUAGCAUGCUAUUCGGUGACACACCUAACGGAUUAAGCAUUCCGCCUGGGGGAGUACGGUCGCAAGAUUA
rnacentral:rRNA from 1 species